GACGAACGCUGGCGGCGUGCUUAACACAUGCAAGUCGAGCGGUAAGGCCCUUUCGGGGGUACACGAGCGGCGAACGGGUGAGUAACACGUGGGUGACCUGCCCUCAGCUCUGGGAUAAGCCUGGGAAACCGGGUCUAAUACCGGAUAUGACUCCAUGACGCAUGUUGUGGGGUGAAAGCCUUGUGCGGCUGAGGAUGGGCCCGCGGCCUAUCAGCUUGUUGGU
rnacentral:rRNA from 1 species